AAAAAAUUUAUAAAGGGACGCAUGGAUAACUAUGGGUUUUGCACCCCGUUUCGCUAAGGCAACUCUUAAUAUAGCCGUUAUCUCAGUAUUAGAGCGCUCGGUAUAAGGUGAGUAAAUAAAUAAAGGAAGUGAAAUGCAAUGUUUGCGAGGUGGAAAAACUGAGCUAUUAUGGAAUUCCUAUCUUUGCUUAGUUUUAUAUUAGUCGGAAACAAUGGUAAAGCUCUGCAAUCGAUUUAUGCAAGCAUGGUGAAUGGGCCUUAUGCAUGUGUGCGAUCAAUUUUAUCAACGCUAAACAAGCAGUAGAUGUAGCCUCAAUACUAUAUAUAACCCGUACUUGUCUAAGGAUAUGGAUAAUUGUAUGCAAAUAUACAUGCAAACACGCAUCAUCAAGGAUUGAAGAGGCCAGCUAUGUUUGAAAGAUCAUGAUUCAUUGAGUUGGAAGUAAACGACAAAUAAAAAAUCGAAAAAAAGUAUAAUUGCAAGUACAAAGACAAUUUAAUAUAAUAAAACCAAAUCUCCUUGAUUAAAAAAAAGUGUUUUGGAAGUUAAAGGGAACGCCAAUGUAAGUAAAUAAAUAUCGCGGGUAAUUUCCUCUUUGUUCUUCGAGACACAAUAAAUUAAAUGAAAAUACGAGAAUCAAACACAGUAAGACAUAUCGUUGGCUAAUCACAUUCCCAAUGCUUUCUUAUUGCACUGCAUUUACGGAAUUCUCAUUUGAAUGGAUUGAGUCGGAUUGAAAAUCAGCGCCAC